rnacentral:rRNA from 1 species
GACAGAGGAUGCAAGCGUUAUCCGGAAUGAUUGGGCGUAAAGCGUCUGUAGGUGGCUUUUUAAGUUCGCCGUCAAAUCCCAGGGCUCAACCCUGGACAGGUGGUGGAAACUACCAAGCUAGAGUACGGUAGGGGCAGAGGGAAUUUCCGGUGGAGCGAUGAAAUGCGUAGAGAUCGGAAGGAACAUCCAAGGCGAAAGCACUCUGCUGGGCCGACACUGACACUGAGAGACGAAAGCUAGGGGAGCAAAUGGG